rnacentral:rRNA from 1 species
AAACUAGGAUUAGAUACCCUUUUAUUUAUUAUUUAAAAUUUUUUACUUGAUAAAUAUUUUUUAAUAAAAAAAUUAAUUAAAAUGGCAGUAUAUUAUAAAAUUAGAGGAUUUUGUUAUAUAAUAGAUAUUACACUUUAAAAUUUAUUUAAUUUUUGUUAUAUAUUGUAUAUUGUUGUAUUAAACUAAUAUUUUUAAAAAAUUAUUAGUAUUUUUUUUUAAAAAAUUAAAUUCAAAUCAACAUACAUAUUAUAAUUAAAAUUUAAAUGAAAUACAAUUAAAUCUAUUAAUGAAUAAUAAAUUGUAAGAUUUAUUUAAAAUUGGAUUUAAUAGUAAAAAUUUAAUAAAUAUUUUAUUUGAAUUAAAUUAAUAUAUGUACAUAUUGCCCGUCGUUUUUAAUU